GAUAUCAUUACGAUAAUAAUACAUUCUGUUAAACUUUCUCACAUUUCAUUAGGUAGACUGUUUAGUCACGAAUUCCUGAUACUGAUAUAUUUUGCAAAAAAUUUUCAAAUUAUUUGAAACCUGGCUAGGAGUAAAAUAUCCCACUUGUCCGAGUAAGAUUUCACUGCUUCUUGGCUAAAUUGCGCCAAGUGAAAUUCUCAGAGAGAGCGCAAAUAAAAAUAAGGUUGGCAUGCAUGCAAGUUUUGUUUCCUCAUAUUUAUGCUAUCAGAACUUUUAUGGAACAGUAAAAAUGCUGUCUAGACUUUUUUCAAGACUUCUAGAAAUUCCGAUAGAUUUAUUCAUGUACCUACUAGUUAGGUUCGAGAUGUUCUUCUGGAAAUACUUCUCAGGUACUUUGGUCAUACCUAUAAUGAAAAUAAUAAGAAAAAAGAUAGUAAGCUUCCAAUCAAGGAGCACCCAAUGAAACUUCUGGAAUCAAGAUAGAAGAACUGUUUUUAAAAAAUGAAACUUAGGCUUUAAGCAGGCCUAAGCGUUAAAACAAAUUAUUGAAUUCGAAUAUAUAUUAAUUAAUCUUAAUUUUAAAAAAGAUUGUAAAAAGGCUCAUUUGAGAUUUUUAUUAUUAUUCUUCUAACUAAUAUAGAAUAUCACUAGCAAUCUAUCUAGUCUAUCGAAUAUAUUUGAAAAUCAUA